AGUAGUUUAGAGAUGAAAGGAAGC
rnacentral:miRNA from 1 species